rnacentral:rRNA from 1 species
UACGAAGGGUGCAAACGUUGCUCGGAAUCAUUGGGCGUAAAGCGCACGUAGGCGGCUUCGCAAGUCGGAUGUGAAAUCCCUCGGCUCAACCGAGGACGUGCAUCCGAAACUGCGGAGCUUGAGUACUGAAGAGGAUCGCGGAAUUCCCGGUGUAGAGGUGAAAUUCGUAGAUAUCGGGAGGAACACCAGUGGCGAAAGCGGCUCACUGGACCCGAUCUGACACUGAUGUGCGAAAGCUAGGGUAGCAAACGGG